CUACCUUUUGAAAUUAAUUUAAACUCCUUGCAUAAAUUGGAAUUGCUAAAGCUCUCACGUGACUACAGAGAAUUUCAUAUUUGUCUUUUUUUUUUUUCAGUUCUGGAUGUUUUAACUUGCCGCAAGAUAUUCCUGAAACGUAACACAAGAAGAAGAAUCUUCUGUGUAAAUUAGUCACAUACUUUAUUCUCCCACAUGUCACAAUCCUUCUAAUCUAUUGCAUCAAAUUCUGGACAGACUGAAGUAUAUAAGAAGAAAUAAGUGCUUACAUAGUAAUUAUUCUCCGUAAUGGGAGAGUUGCAAUUUAAGUGGCUCUUUUGGAGGAGCUUUGCUGAGUCUGGGGGCACAUUCCAAACAGUGUUAAUCUUUCUUUUCAUUCCAUAUUCCUUGACUGUGGAUUAUAGGGCAACACCAGUUCUGUCAGAUACAACUUUCGUUUGGGUCUGGAAUGUUCCAACUGAAGCUUGUGUAGAAAACGUUACUGAACCAAUAGAUCUGAGCUUCUUCUCUUUAAUUGGAAGCCCCCGGAAAACUGCCAUAGGGCAGCCUGUCACAUUAUUUUAUGUUGAUCGACUUGGUAACUAUCCUCACAUAGAUGCACAGCAAACAGAACAUC
rnacentral:lncRNA from 1 species